AUCUCCACCUGUGCACCUAUUGUAGACCUGGAUAACUUUCUGAAUGCGCUAGCAUUUAGGUACGAGGAUUGGCUUUCUGCCUCUCCUUACAUUUUCAGGCCUAUGUUCUUUCAUAUAACCUCAAUGUAUGUCAUGGAAUGUAAUACUUAUGGGCUUCUGUGCCCUAUAAACCUUAUACAACUUUCAGCAACGGAUCUCUUGGCUCUCGCAUCGAUGAAGAACGCAGCGAAAUGCGAUAAGUAAUGUGAAUUGCAGAAUUCAGUGAAUCAUCGAAUCUUUGAACGCACCUUGCACUCCUUGGUAUUCCGAGGAGUAUGCCUGUUUGAGUGUCAUUAAUAUAUCAACCUCUCAAGCUUUUGCUUGUGGAGUGUAUGGAUGUGGGGGGAUUAUUUUGCUGGCCUUUUCAUGAGGUCGGCUCCCCUGAAAUGCAUUGGCAGAAUGGUUUGCUGACCGUUUAUUGGUGUGAUAACUAUCUACGCUGUUGACGUGAAGCAAGUUCAGCUUAUAAUGGUCCAUUGACUUGGACAACAUAUUUAUUAAUGUGACCUCAAAUCAGGUAGGACUACCCGCUGAACUUA
rnacentral:rRNA from 1 species